rnacentral:sRNA from 1 species
GCUGGAUGAGAUGGUAAACACCUGUAGUCCCAGCUACUUAGGAGGCUGAAGCUGGAGGAUCAUUUGAGACCAGCCUGGGCAACAUAGCAGAACUCUGUCUCUU